rnacentral:rRNA from 1 species
AUUGAACGCUGGCGGCAUGCUUUACACAUGCAAGUCGAACGGUAACAGGCCUUCGGGUGCUGACGAGUGGCGAACGGGUGAGUAAUGCAUCGGAACGUACCCAGAGGUGGGGGAUAACGCAGCGAAAGCUGUGCUAAUACCGCAUGUGAUCUGAGGAUGAAAGCGGGGGACCGAGCAGCAAUGUUUGGCCUCGCGCCUUUGGAGCGGCCGAUGUCGGAUUAGCUAGUUGGUGGGGUAAAGGCCUACCGAGGCGACGAUCCGUAGCUGGUCUGAGAGGACGACCAGCCACACUGGGCCUGAGACACGGCCCAGACUCCUACGGGAGGCAGCAGUGGGGAAUUUUGGACAAUGGGCGCAAGCCUGAUCCAGCAAUGCCGCGUGCGGGAAGAAGGCCUUCGGGUUGUAAACCGCUUUUGGCAGGAACGAAACGGUGUCCGCUAAUACCGGGCGCUAAUGACGGUACCUGCAGAAUAAGCACCGGCUAACUACGU